rnacentral:lncRNA from 1 species
UCUUUUCGAAUUUUUUUUUUCGCGACAACUGCGAAGGAUCUUAUUUUUCGAGAUGCGACAGUAAGACCUUCGAUGGAAUCUUAGUUGUCCUCAAGAUUCUCGAAAUCAUCAUCUUCAGGGGAUGGUACAUGACUAUUGUCAGGCACAGAGUCAUCCAGGUGAUCACCAUAUUCGACCACCACAUCAACUUGACCGCCUUUCUUGGCCUCGGGGUCGUGCUCCCCAGUCAUAGUCAAAUUCAC